rnacentral:lncRNA from 10 species
CCUCAGAUGGAAAUGCAGAAAUCACCCGUCUUCUGCGUCGCUCACGCUGGGAGCUGUAGACCGGAGCUGUUCCUAUUCGGCCAUCUUGGCUCCUCCCCCCGAGAUUGAUAAAUCCAAGAAAAUAGAGAAGAUCAAAAGAAGAUACAUAGCUGAAAACACUUGAAGGUAUAGACUACCUUGAAAGUCACGCAAGAACUGUUCUUCCUGCUUUCCAUAUCCAAGAUGCAGAAGUCAAGGCACAGGGAUGUGAACAUACGUGGGUCAUGUUUCAUAGUACCUGGACCAAGAGAAGAGGUCUCUCUAUGUUGAGAAAAUGGCAAUGCCUUCCCACAGCAUGGUACUUCUUCUCCUUCUGAGAAUGAUACUGUUACAUAAAGGUUUUCGGCGGUGCCCCAGAACACGGAGAUUUCCUUCUGCCCAGCUGCAUGAGGCACACAUAUCCUGGGAUGGCAUUAGGAAGAUGGCCACUUUCACAUCAACUUAUGUACUCUGGCACCAACCUCUCUUCUCCCUACCCAGCCCAACUUCCCACCCACUGCUAUUGGGAUGAUAUGUGCUCUUGGGUAAGGAAUGCAUAUCCAAAUGCUACCUCAGAUCAGGGAGGUAAUACCUGGCCUCAAUUCUCUGCCCUUAAAGAAUCUUGCAGCCAAAUUGGGUAAAGAGUCAAGACCCAUCGGUGUGCUUUAUUCAGGAGACCCAUCUCACGUGCAAAGACACACAUGGGCCCAAAAUAAAGGGAUGGAGUAAUAUUUACCAAGGAAAUGGAAAGCACACACACACAAAAAAAAGCAGAGGUUGCAAUCCUAGCCUCUGAUAAAACAGACUUUAAACCAACAAAGAUCAAAAAAGACAAAGAAGGGCAUUACAUACUGGUAAAGGGAUCAAUGCAACAAGAAGAGCUAACUCUCCUAAAUAUAUAUGCACCCAAUACAGGAGCACCCACAUUCAUAAAGCAAGUUCUUAGAGACCUACAAAGAGACUUAGACUCCCACACAAUAAUAGUGGGAGACUUUUAACACCUCACUGUCAAUAUUAGGCAGAUCAACAAGACAGAAAAUUAACCAGGAUAUUCAGGAUGUGAACUAAGCUCUGGACCAAGAGGACCUAAUAGACAUCUGUGGAACUCUCCACCCCAAAUCAAUAGAAUGUACAUUCUUCUCAGCACCACAUCGCACUUAUUCUAAAAUUGACCACAUAAUUGGAAAUAAAACACUCCUCAGCAAAUGCAAAAGAAUGGAAAUCAUUACAGUCUCUCAGAUCACAGUGCAAUCAAGUUAGAACUCAGGAUUAAGAAACUCAGUCAGAACCGGACAACGACAUGGAAACUGACAACCUGCUCCUGAAUGACUACUGGGUAAAUAACAAAAUUAAGGAAGAAAUAAAUAAGUUCUUUGAAACCAAUGAGAACAAAGACACAAUGUACUAGAGUCUCUGGGACACAGCUAAAGCAGUGUUUAGAGGGAAAUUUAUAGCACCAAAUGCCCACAGGAGAAAGCAGGAAAGAUCUAAAAUCGACACCGUAAUAUCACAAUUAAAAGAACUAGAGAAGCAAGAGCAAACAAAUUCAAAAGCUAGCAGAAGGCAAGAAAUGACUAAGAUCAGAGCAGAACUGAAGGAGACAGAGACACAUGGACACAGGAGAAUGAGAACACAUGGACACAGGGAGGGUAACAUCACAAACUGGGGCCUGUCAGGGGUGGGGAGUGGUGGGGAGGGAUAGCAUUAGGAGAAAGAUCUAAUGUAGAUGAAAGUUUGAUGGGUGCAGCAAACCACCAUGGCAUGUGCAUACCUAUGUAACAAACCUGCACAUUCUGCACGUGUAUCCCAGAACUUAAAGUAUAAUAUAAUAAAAGAAUCUCAUAGCCAUCAUCUGUUGUAUACAACAGACCUCAAAUUAGUCUCCCUCUGCUUCUCCAACAGUGUGGCCUCUUCUAUGAAGCUGUCUACCCAUGGGUUUCCCCAACAUCCCAUCCCCCAGCCCUCAGGUUUCUCCUCCCCAUCAUCUUCACUUCAGAAAGAGAAAUGAAAAAGAAAUUCAAGUGACUCAUCGGUCCACAUAGGCAGGAGUGGGAGAGGCUGAGAGAGUGAAUUUGUGGGUCCAGAUGAAUAUUUCCGCAGGCCUCUUGACUGCUUCACACGAUCUGCUGUGCUUCAUGAAAAAGAGGAUAUAAAAAUCUGAGUGGUGCCAUAUUGUCUCCAAAAGCAGCCAGAGUGAAAAUGAAGUGUGACUGCUGCCUCCCAAAACGCAGGGCAGCUCCUCCCUCACAUCCACAAAUGUGGUUCAGCGGGCUGCCUUGCCCUGUUUCAGGAAGCCUACGUGGAGGGCACUGUGGAGCCCCAGCCACCUUCUUCACACAGGGCUAUCUGGGGCUUCAGUGCCAGGUCCCCUGGAUACACAGCAGAGUCUGCUGGGGGCACUGACCAGGAUGCCAAUGCAGGGGUGCUUUCUCGGAGGCUCAUCCCACCAGCAGUGCCAGGUUUGACAAGCCCCACAAAUCUAUGCUCUUUGGCCGCCUUGAGAACUUUCCAACCAGGGAUUCUUACUGAGCAGAGUGUGCAUGGCGAGGAAGAGUCAGAGUGGGGGGGGCCUUGCCCCUCCCUCAACCAGAGGGACUCUACUUUAAUGUACCUUACAUACUGGGCACUUUCCUAAGAUUUCACUGGAAAAAAUCGGAGCAAACAAAAAUGGAAACAACCUGGAAAGCCCCCAUGGGUCUAGCCCAGUGGUUCUCGAACUUGAGUGUGCCUCAGAAUCUUCUGGAGGGCUAGAUAUAAAACACAGAUGGCUGCGCCUCUCCCCAGACUUGCUGAUUCAUUAUUGCUGAUAUUUCAUUUUUAUGUUUUUGUUUUUUUGAGAUAGGUUCUCACUCUGUUGCCUAGGCUGGAGUAUAGUGACCCAAUCACUGCUCACUGCAGCAUUGACCUCCUGGGCUCAAGCAAUCCUCACACCUGAGCCUCCCAAGAGGCUGGGACUACAGGUAUGUGCCACCACACCUGGCUAAUUUUUCUCUCUUUUGUAGAGACAAGGUCUUGCUAUGCUGCCUAUGUCUCUAACUCCUAAACUCAAGCCCACCUCAGCCUCCUAAAGUGCUGGGAUUACAAGCAUGAGCUACCACACCCAGCCUAAUAUUCUAUACUUUUAAUAGGCUGUCAUGGGAUUACAAUGUUGCUUUCUUGGGACCAACAUUAAGAACCACUACUCUGGCCCAGCUUCCCUUUUAGAUGCCAGGACAGGUGACUCUUCCAAGGUGCCUCAGCAACUUAGAGGCAAACUGGAAUAGAGCCCACUCGCUGACAGCCCCUCCCCCUAUUUUCUAUCCCACCCCCACUUCAUCCAGGGCUUUUCUAUCACACCUGCUCCAGCACAGCAGGGCCCUGGAUAGAGAAAACUGCUCCAAGCUGGGCUUUGUCCCAUGAGGAAAGGGGCACCCUAAAGCAGAGCCCUCGCUCAGCCCAGCCGUGUCCCCCAUUUUGGGAAGUGGCACCCUACCCCCAGGUUUUCAGGAUGCCCCUCAAACUUGACUUAUCCAUGCUUUCAUUCCUUAUUGAGCCUUCUGUGAUUUCUUUCCUUUAUUCUUUCACCGAACACAUCCUUACUGAGACCUUCUAGGUGCUGGGUGCUGUUCUAGAUCCUGAGAAAGAUAUAGAGACCUGUGGGAGACAGGCUCCUCCCUGCCUUCAAGAACUUUGCAGUUGGGUAGGAAAAUAAGCCUAAUCAAGUUACUACACUGUAAAGGGGAAAGAAGGGAGUGUCUCAAAAGGUGUGUGAAGGAUGAGGAAUGGGGAGGGGCUCAUUAGUCUGGCAGGGAGCUGUUAACAGAGACAGGCAUGGGCAUCGGAUGAAGAGGACAUAGUCAGUGUAAGAAAUUAAUGAUUAAAUCAUGAGAAAUAUUUAUUGAGUAUUCACUGUUCACCAAUUGCUUUACAUCUUUUAUCUUCACAACCUUCCCUAUAGGAGGCGCCAUUAUUAAAUUCUUGUUUACAGAUGAGGAAACUGAAGCUCAGAGAAGCCAUGCAACUUGUCCAAAGCCACACAGCUACUCAAACUCAGGCUUUCUGGACCCAGAACCUGAUCUCUUAACUACUACUCUACCAUCUACGACUACUGUACCAUCUCUUACUACUGUACUAUCUUAAUUGCUGUCAGCAAGGGACAGACAGCUAGCACCUAUUUGGAGGGCAGUGAAGAGCAGGUUUCCUGAAGCAUUCCACAAGUGUCAGGGGGUAGUUGGAAUACAGUGAGAAAGAUAGGUUGGGGCUUAAUUUAUGGAGAGGCUUGACUGCCAGGGUGAGUGAUUUGUACCUAACUCAGGAGAUUGUAGGAAGCCACUGAAGGAUUUUGAAUAGGAAAAGUACACGUGACACAGCUGUGUUUUAGGAAAAUUCCUCUAACAGCAGUAGGCAGAUUAGGUUGGAGUGGGAAGACAUUGAUGACCAGGACACCACACUGAAGUUUACUGCAGGAUUACGGGAGUGACAAAACAAAGGCCUGACUUAGGGCAGUGUGGCAGAAAUAGAGCAAGACUCAAGGACAGAUGCUCUCCUCACCACUGUUAUUGUAAAUAAUUUUGACCACUGACCACAUUCUUGACCUAUCUUAACUCAUGUCAUUCUCCCAGUAGGCUGCUACAUCAGAUUGCUUUCCCUUUGACAUCUCUUGCCCCUUCUUCAUCUCUACCAAUGUCUCCCCAUUGGCAGUUUUCCUGUUUGGGGAUCAGGGUCUCAGACCUCUUCUUUGAAUGUAUAGGAAUCACAGGCUAAGGAAACUCAGGAUUGAGGAAUCAUGAUCACUCUCAGAACUGUUUAUUCUCUCCAUUCUGAAGCUGAUGAAACAGAGGCCUGGAGAGGAUGAGUAACUUGUAUCUAGGAAGUGAUGGUGCUUGGAUCAGAGGUGGGAAAUCUUUCCCCCACCUGUUAACGUCGUGUUCCCAUUCUCCUGCUUCCUGGGUCAGGCUGGAGGCCCUGCAGCUGUCGGGAGUGCCAGAUGGCAUCUCAGUCACCAGGCUGGAGGGUGCCUGAGGACCCUGCGGUCAGCCCCAGCUGGCAGCACCACCUCCCAACUGGCACUGUGGACACCAGUGUUCAGAGGGGCUGAGUGAAGGAAGCACGUGUAGCAGAGGGGCAAGAAUGCAGGUGACUCAUGCCCUUUGCAGUGUGACUUACAGCUGUCCAUGGGGCAUCCCAGCCUACGUGAGGCAGUUGCCAUCUUUGCUGUCAGAGAGUCACUCUUGACCCAGGCAGUAACUGACGUCAAGAGCAGAGGAGACAGAGUUUGGUUGUAAAACGGACCAACUGUGCAGAAGAAGCAGUACCCAGCUAUGAGCGAGGAAACCUCGGCUCCACUCACAGAUUUGCUCUUGCCCUUUACAACUGUGUGACCUUAGAACCCAAAUUGCCUCACAGAUGUCUGCACAGAUCACAGCAGGUGUUAAGGAGCAGAAAGCUCUCUGGGAAAUGAGAGUCCCCUUCUUGCUACAGGGACACUGAAGCACAAGGAAGACCACUGUCCCCAAAAGCCAGGAUCCAUUUCUACCUGUAGCACCACUGGCAGCACCUGCUGUUGGAAAGAUCUUCUUCCACAAUUUCUGAGAACUGUGCUCUACCAUGCCAUUACAGGGACUCACUGAAUACUAAAAACUCUCAAUUGUUCAUGGAUCAAAAGUAAAUGAAUAGGACACUGUAACCUAAAGGCAAGGAUAAGAAAACUGGGAUUUAAAUGUGCUGGGACUGUAAAAACAAAAAUGCUAAGGAGUAAAGCUUUACCUAGUAAUGAAAAUAAACCAGGAGAAAGAGCACCACACCAGAGCUUAGAAAGCUUCUGUUCUUUCCUGCUCUCCCCAGUUGUUCCCUGAAGACCAGGCCAUGUCUUCCUCAUAAUUGCAUAUUACUGUGCCUGGCACAUACUAGAAAGCUAUUUAAAAUUAUGUACUUGUUAGCAUAUUGACAUGAUAAUAUGUUCACAAUGUAUCAUAGUGAGUUAUAACAGCAGUAUGGGCAGUGUGUAUACAUUUCUGUAAAGAAGACUGGAAACUGAUAAAUAUCAUUAUGUCUGCAUGAUAUAAUUCAAAGUUAUAUUAGUUUUCUUCUUUUUAAUUUCUAAUCUGUAAUUUUCUACAUACAGCAUAUGUUAGUUGUGUAAUCAAAGUUUAAAAUGUACAUAUAAAUAUGUAACUAAACAGUUGAUCCUUGAACAAUGUGAGGAUUAAGGGUGCUGAUGCCCUGUGGUCAAAAUUCCAUGUAUAACUUUUAACUCCCACAAAAUUUAACUACUAGGAGCCUAUUGUUGACAGAAAGCCUUACUGAUGACAUAAACGGUCAAUUAACACACAUUUUGUAUGUUAUAUGUAUUAUAUACUAUAUUCUUACAAUAAAGUAAGCUAGAUACAAGAAAAUGUUAGUAAGAAAAUCAUAAGAAAAAGAAAACAUGUUUACUAUUUAUUAAGUGGAAGUGGAUCACCAUAAAGAUCUUCAUCCCCAUCAUCUUCACAUGAGUAGGCUAGGAAGGAGGAGGAAGAGGAGGGAUUGGUCUUGUCUCAGUAGUGGCAGAGGUGGAAGAAGUGGCAGGAGAGACAGGAGAGGCAGGCACUCUGGGUGUAACUUUUACUGAAAAAAAAUUGGCAUAUAAGUGGACCCAUAGAGUUCAAUCCUGUGUUAUUCAAGGAGCAACUGUAUUUUUUAGUACAUCCUUUAGCUUUUUAUUUCCUUUUGGACUUUCACAGUAAGUUACAAAAAUAGGGAUUUGGGAGUUUGAGAAAGAACGAGAUGUUAAUUCCUGUAAAAAUUAAAGUGUUUGUAAAUAUUGUCAUCAGAAGCAAUAAUGGAGGUUGUUUUUGCUCCCAAUGACAUACAAAGCACCACUAAAUGUGAGACACUAGCAUGUAGUAGGGACUCUGAAAGAGUUCAUACUGUCUAACCUGUUAAUUCCAAUCACAUUGAAAACAACUCAUAUAUGGAGACUUGGCUCACCAAACUCAAGAUAUCUACAUGCUGGAUCACUAUAUUGGUAUAAAGAUAUUUUUUAGGUUUUAAAAUGUCAAGUGUACACAUGUCAUUUUAUAGAAAUGUUCAUAUAAAAUAAUGCUGUGUCCUGUAUAUAUCUACUUAUAAUUCUGUGAAAAUUUAUGUUUAUUAAGAAAUAUAAAAACUCAAGCAAUGUAAAAUAGAAGUUACUUAUAAGUUAUUUAUUUUGUAGUAUCACUUAGUUUUAUCAUUUUUAUUGAAACCAAGUAGAAAAUAUAAAUGCUUGCACAUCAAUAAUUGAAAUACUUUCCAAGAGUUCCUCAAAAUUUCAGACAGUUGUAGCAGAAGGUGAUAAUGAAGCAAACAUUCAUAGACUACACUAUUGCUGGGAGUGUAAACAGAUCUAUGUUCUCUAUGCAUGACUUGGAUAUACAUAUGUCAAAUUUUAGAAGUGUCAUUCACUUAGUUCCAUCAAUUCUAUGUUAAGAAUCUCAUUCGGCCAGGCGCGGUGGCUCACGCCUGUAAUCCCAGCGCUUUGGGAGGCCGAGGUGGGCAGAUCAUGAGGUCAGGAGAUCGAAACCAUCCUGGCUAACACAGUGAAACCCCAUCUCUACUAAAAAUACAAAAAUUAGCCAGGCAUGGUCGCACGCACCUGUAGUCCCAGCUACUCAGGAGGCUGAGGCAGGAGAAUUGCUGGAACCCAGGAGGCGGAGGUUGCAGUGAGCCAAGGUUGCGCCACUGCACUCCAGCCUGGGUGACAGAGCGAGACUCCAUCUCAAAACAAAACAAAACAAAACAAAAAUCCCUACAAGGAGAACUAUAAAACACUGCUGGAAGAAAUCCUAGAUGACACAAACAAAUGGAAAAACAGUUCAUGCUCAUAGACUGAAAGAAUAAAUAUUGUCACAAUGGCCAUACUGUCCAAAACAACCUACAGAUUCAAUGAUAUUCCUAUCAAGCUACUAAUGUCAUUUCUCACAGAACUAGAAAAAACUAUUCUAAAACUCUUAUGGAACCAAAAAAGAGCAUGAAUAGCCAAAAUAGUCCUAAGCAAAAAGAACAAAGCCAAAGGAAUCACAUUACCCAACUUCAAACUAUACUAUUCAGGUGAAAUAUUUGGAUCAUUAAGAAAAAAAGAAGGAGAAGAAGAACAAACUAUGCUAUAAGGCUAGAGUAACCAAAACAACAUGGUACUGGUACAAAAAUAGAAACAUAGACCAAUGGAACAGCAUAGAAAAACCAAGAAAUAAAGCCACACAUACAGCCAUCUGAUCUUCAACAAAGUUGACAAAAAUAAACAAUGGGGAAAUGAUGUCCUAUUCAAUAAAUAGAACAGCGAUAGCUUGCUAGCCAUAUGCAGGAGAACGAAACUGGACCCCUAGCUUUCACCAUAAACAAAAAUUAACUCAAGAUUAAUUAAGGGCUUAAAUGUAAGGCAUCAAACUAUAGGAAUCCUAGAAGAAAACCUACGAAACGCCAUUCUGGAUAUUGCCUUUGGGAAAAAAUUUAUGACUAAGUAUCCAAAAACAAUUGCAACAAAAACAAAAAUAGACAACUGGGACCUAAUUAAACUAAAGAGCUUCUGCACAGCAAAAGAGGCUAUCAACAGAGUAAACAGACAACCUAUAGAAUGGGAGAAAAUAUUUGCAAACUAUGCAUCCAACAAAGGUCUAAUCUAGAAUCUAUAAGGAACUCAAACAAUUCCACAAGCAAAAAACAACCUCAUUUAAAAAAAUAGACAAAAGCUAUGAACCGUAACUUCUCAAAAGAAGACACACAAAUGACCAACAAACAUGAAAAAAUGCUCAAGUUCACUAAUCAUCAGAGAAAUGCAAAUCAAAACCACAAUGAGAUACCAUUUCACACCAGUCAGAAUGGUUAUUAUUAAAAAGUCAAAAAACAACAGAUGCUCUCAAGACUGGAGAAAAGAGAAUGCUAGAACACUGUUAGUGGAAACGUACGUAGUUCAGCCAAUGUGAAAAGCAGAUUGGAGAUUUCUCAAAGAACUUAAAACAGAAUUACCAUUUGACCCAGCAAUCCCAUUACUAGGGAUACAUCCAAGAGAAAAUAAAUUGUUCUACCAAAAAGACACAUGUACCUGUCUGUUCAUCAUGCACUCUUCACAAUAGCAAAGAUAAAGAAUUAACCUAGGUGCCCAUCAGUCGUGGAUUGGAUAAAGAAAAUGUGGUACACAUAUGACAUGGAAUACUAUACAGCCAUAAAAAGAAUGAAAUCAUAUCCUUUGCAGCAACGUGGAUGCAGCUGGAGGCCAUUAUCCUGGGUGAAUUAACACUGAAACAGAAAAUCAAAUACCACAUGUUUUCAUCCAUAAGUGGGAGCUAAACAGGGGACACUCAUGGACACAAAGAUGGCAACAAAAGACACUGGGGACUACUAGAGGGGAAAGGAGGGGGGAAGGGUUAAAAAAUUGUUGGGCACUAUGCCCAGUACCUGGGUGAAAGGAUCAGUCAUACUCCAAACCUCAGCAUCACACAGUAUAUCCAAGUAACAAACCUGCACAUUUACCCCCUGAAUCUAAAAUAAAAGUUGAAAUUAUGUUUAAAAAAUUCACUCAGGAAUAACCAGAGACCCAAAGACAUUUAUCUCAUUAUGAUUUGUGAUGGGAAAUAAGAGAAGUUACCAAAGUGUCCAAUAGUAAGAAACACAUUGACUCACUAUAGUCAUAGGGUGAAAUAACUAGGCAGCCACUAAGAACAUUUCAUAGUGGAAGAGUAUUUAAUAUUAUGAAAAAGAGUUUCAUUAAAACAUACAAACAGCCGGGCGCAGUGGAUGACGCCUGUAAUCUCACCACUUUGGGAGGCUGAGGCAGGUGGAUCACUUGAGGUCAGAAGUUCAAGACCAGCCUGGCCAACACAGUGAAACCCUGUCUCUACUAAAAUACAAAAA